AAAUGGGUCCUGGCCAGCCAACAGUGCUCGCCUGUUGAGACAGCCACAAAGGCACGUCCUCUUGUCAGUCUGGCAAGCGACGCUGCCCCAUUCUCCUCUUCCUGCCAGACGACAGAAGAGAAGAAUGGUUAGUACUUCCUGAUCGAGAUGCGACCGAGCUCUCCGGUGAGGAACUCCAGCCCCCUGCAUCCCAUCCCGACUGAACCAGCUCAGCUGCCGGACCCCAGAGGACAGCACCACCAGGAGCCCAUCAAGCCUGUAUCCACAGCAUCAGGAACUUUUGAAUGAAAAUGUGUUUGGGCUUCUGAAAAUGCAUUUGGUCUGCUGGAGUCAUAUUUCUUCACCUGGUCAACGAAGUAUCCAGUGCUACAGUAGUUUGAGAGGUGUUAUAAAGAAUAGCCCAACCUAAUUCUAA